GGGUUGUGAGGUUAAGCGACUAAGCGUACACGGUGGAUGCCCUGGCAGUCAGAGGCGAUGAAGGGCGUGCUAAUCUGCGAUAAGCGCCGGUAAGGUGAUAUGAACCGUUAUAACCGGCGAUACCCGAAUGGGGAAACCCAGUGUGACUCGUCACACUAUCAUUAACUGAAUCCAUAGGUUAAUGAGGCGAACCGGGGGAACUGAAACAUCUAAGUACCCCGAGGAAAAGAAAUCAACCGAGAUUCCCCCAGUAGCGGCGAGCGAACGGGGAGGAGCCCAGAGCCUGAAUCAGCAUGUGUGUUAGUGGAAGCGUCUGGAAAGGCGCGCGAUACAGGGUGACAGCCCCGUACACAAAAGCGCAUGUGCUGUGAGCUCGAUGAGUAGGGCGGGACACGUGGUAUCCUGUCUGAAUAUGGGGGGACCAUCCUCCAAGGCUAAAUACUCCUGACUGACCGAUAGUGAACCAGUACCGUGAGGGAAAGGCGAAAAGAACCCCGGCGAGGGGAGUGAAAAAGAACCUGAAACCGUGUACGUACAAGCAGUGGGAGCACCCUUUGGGUGUGACUGCGUACCUUUUGUAUAAUGGGUCAGCGACUUAUAUUCUGUAGCAAGGUUAACCGAAUAGGGGAGCCGGAGGGAAACCGAGUCUUAACCGGGCGUUAAGUUGCAGGGUAUAGACCCGAAACCCGGUGAUCUAGCCAUGGGCAGGUUGAAGGUUGGGUAACACUAACUGGAGGACCGAACCGACUAAUGUUGAAAAAUUAGCGGAUGACCUGUGGCUGGGGGUGAAAGGCCAAUCAAACCGGGAGAUAGCUGGUUCUCCCCGAAAGCUAUUUAGGUAGCGCCUCGUGAAUUCAUCUCCGGGGGUAGAGCACUGUUUCGGCUAGGGGGCCAUCCCGGCUUACCAACCCGAUGCAAACUGCGAAUACCGGAGAAUGUUAUCACGGGAGACACACGGCGGGUGCUAACGUCCGUCGUGAAGAGGGAAACAACCCAGACCGCCAGCUAAGGUCCCAAAGUCAUGGUUAAGUGGGAAACGAUGUGGGAAGGCCCAGACAGCCAGGAUGUUGGCUUAGAAGCAGCCAUCAUUUAAAGAAAGCGUAAUAGCUCACUGGUCGAGUCGGCCUGCGCGGAAGAUGUAACGGGGCUAAACCAUGCACCGAAGCUGCGGCAGCGACACUGUGUGUUGUUGGGUAGGGGAGCGUUCUGUAAGCCUGUGAAGGUGUGUCGUGAGGCAUGCUGGAGGUAUCAGAAGUGCGAAUGCUGACAUAAGUAACGAUAAAGCGGGUGAAAAGCCCGCUCGCCGGAAGACCAAGGGUUCCUGUCCAACGUUAAUCGGGGCAGGGUGAGUCGACCCCUAAGGCGAGGCCGAAAGGCGUAGUCGAUGGGAAACGGGUUAAUAUUCCCGUACUUGGUGUUACUGCGAAGGGGGGACGGAGAAGGCUAUGUUGGCCGGGCGACGGUUGUCCCGGUUUAAGCGUGUAGGUGUGUGUUCCAGGUAAAUCCGGUUCACUUUAACACUGAGGCGUGACGACGAGGCACUACGGUGCUGAAGCAACAAAUGCCCUGCUUCCAGGAAAAGCCUCUAAGCAUCAGGUAACAUCAAAUCGUACCCCAAACCGACACAGGUGGUCAGGUAGAGAAUACCAAGGCGCUUGAGAGAACUCGGGUGAAGGAACUAGGCAAAAUGGUGCCGUAACUUCGGGAGAAGGCACGCUGACACGUAGGUGAAGUGAUUCACUCAUGGAGCUGAAGUCAGUCGAAGAUACCAGCUGGCUGCAACUGUUUAUUAAAAACACAGCACUGUGCAAACACGAAAGUGGACGUAUACGGUGUGACGCCUGCCCGGUGCCGGAAGGUUAAUUGAUGGGGUCAGCGCAAGCGAAGCUCCUGAUCGAAGCCCCGGUAAACGGCGGCCGUAACUAUAACGGUCCUAAGGUAGCGAAAUUCCUUGUCGGGUAAGUUCCGACCUGCACGAAUGGCGUAAUGAUGGCCAGGCUGUCUCCACCCGAGACUCAGUGAAAUUGAACUCGCUGUGAAGAUGCAGUGUACCCGCGGCAAGACGGAAAGACCCCGUGAACCUUUACUAUAGCUUGACACUGAACAUUGAGCCUUGAUGUGUAGGAUAGGUGGGAGGCUUUGAAGUGUGGACGCCAGUCUGCAUGGAGCCGACCUUGAAAUACCACCCUUUAAUGUUUGAUGUUCUAACGUGGACCCGUUACCCGGGUUGCGGACAGUGUCUGGUGGGUAGUUUGACUGGGGCGGUCUCCUCCUAAAGAGUAACGGAGGAGCACGAAGGUUGGCUAAUCCUGGUCGGACAUCAGGAGGUUAGUGCAAUGGCAUAAGCCAGCUUGACUGCGAGCGUGACGGCGCGAGCAGGUGCGAAAGCAGGUCAUAGUGAUCCGGUGGUUCUGAAUGGAAGGGCCAUCGCUCAACGGAUAAAAGGUACUCCGGGGAUAACAGGCUGAUACCGCCCAAGAGUUCAUAUCGACGGCGGUGUUUGGCACCUCGAUGUCGGCUCAUCACAUCCUGGGGCUGAAGUAGGUCCCAAGGGUAUGGCUGUUCGCCAUUUAAAGUGGUACGCGAGCUGGGUUUAGAACGUCGUGAGACAGUUCGGUCCCUAUCUGCCGUGGGCGCUGGAGAACUGAGGGGGGCUGCUCCUAGUACGAGAGGACCGGAGUGGACGCAUCACUGGUGUUCGGGUUGUCAUGCCAAUGGCACUGCCCGGUAGCUAAAUGCGGAAGAGAUAAGUGCUGAAAGCAUCUAAGCACGAAACUUGCCCCGAGAUGAGUUCUCCCUGAGACUUAGAGUCUCCUGAAGGAACGUUGAAGACGACGACGUUGAUAGGCCGGGUGUGUAAGCGCAGCGAUGCGUUGAGCUAACCGGUACUAAUGAACCGUGAGGCUUAACCUUACAACGCCGAAG
rnacentral:rRNA from 1 species